rnacentral:rRNA from 1 species
CUGCUGCCUCCCGUAGGAGUUUGGGCCGUGUCUCAGUCCCAAUGUGGCCGUACACCCUCUCAGGCCGGCUACUGAUCGUCGCCUUGGUAGGCCGUUACCCUGCCAACUAGCUAAUCAGACGCGGACCCAUCUCAUACCACCGGAGUUUUUCACACAGAACCAUGCAGUCCCGUGCGCUUAUGCGGUAUUAACAGUCGUUUCCAACUGUUAUCCCCCUGUAUGAGGUAGGUUAUCCACGCGUUACUCACCCGUCCGCCA